rnacentral:rRNA from 1 species
CCUCGGUUCUUGUUCUGUUGGUCUUUACAGGAACAUUCAAAUGAGAGGUAAUGAUUAAGAGGAACAGACGGGGGCAUUCGUAUUGCGGCGCUAGAGGUGAAAUUCUUGGACCGCUGCAAGACGAACUACAGCGAAAGCAUUUGCCAAGAAUGUUUUCAUUAAUCAAGAACGAAAGUUAGAGGUUCGAAGGCGAUCAGAUACCGCCCUAGUUCUAACCAUAAACGAUGCCAACCAGCGAUCCGCCUGAGUUUUAACUUGUAAGCGACUCGGCGGGCAGCUUCGCGGGAACCCAUUGAGUUUUUCGGUUCCGGGGGAAGUAUGGUUGCAAAGCUGAAACUUAAAGGAAUUGACGGAAGGGCACCACCAGGAGUGGAGCCUGCGGCUUAAUUU